rnacentral:rRNA from 1 species
CCCCUUCUGAAAACCCUUACGUGCUUUAUUUUGGGGGGGGGGGAACCGACUGUUACUUUGAAAAAAAUUUAAUGUUUUAAGCGGGGGCACGCGUGGAAACAUUUUCAUGGGAAAAAGAAAAAGGACGUUUGAUCCUAUUUUGUUGGUUUCUAGGAUCGACGUAAUGAUUAAUAGGGAUAGUUGGGGGCGUUAGUAUUCAAUUGUCAGAGGAGAAAUUCUUGGAUUUAUUGAAGACUAACUACUGCGAAAACAUUUGCCAAGGAUGUUUUCUUUAAUCAAGAACAAAAGUUAGGGGAUCAAAGACGAUCAGAUACCGUCGUAGUCUUAACCAUAAACUAUGCCGACUAGGGAUCGGAUGAUGUUAUUUUUUU